rnacentral:tRNA from 1 species
GCCGACGUGGUGAAAUUUGGCAGACACGUACGCUUCAGGGGCGUAUGGCCGAAAGGCUUUGCGGGUUCAAGUCCCGCCGUCGGCA